rnacentral:lncRNA from 1 species
CUUGUAGGUGACAUGAGAAGCUCACUGCCCGAGGCCCAGCUCUGCAAUCCUUUCUCAUACCCAGUUGCCUCCUGGAUUCCAUUGACACCACCUGCAUGAGCACUACAGGAUACAUCUUACAAAGCAAUGGUAGCUACUGCUGGAAGGCAUUCAAAGAACAAAUCUCUGUUUCUAGCCACAGCUACAGGACAUCAAAAACACAAUCAAACCUAAGCUUCACCAGCUCCAACUGCCUGGUCUCUGCUUACCUGAAUUUGCAAUGGUCUGUUUGUGAGUUUGCUGUAGAGAUGAUUUUCCAUGAAGCAUGAUUUGUUUCUUGAGCACUGUGCCAUUGUGUGUCUCCAAUUAUGAUCUUGGAAUAGGAUCAUGAAUAAGGAAUGGGGAAAAUGAAGUCCUCAUUCAUGUGAUCAUCAUCUUCUCUUACACUAGCUGUUAGUUUCCCAUGGACGUUUUCUCUCUCUGUGUCUCCUGACUCCCCCACUCAGUCUAGCCACUGUUAGGGUGACACCUUUUUCUUCUACAGCUGUUCCCAUCUGGAACAGCCUCAUUGCUCCACUACAAAUGACUUUCCACCAUGUCUCAAAUCUCAGAGGAAAACAUUGGUUUUUGUCCCACCUCUCUUCUUGCAAUUUAUUAUUUAACUCCAUUAUUAUAUUAUUCAAACUCUGUGAAAAAUUUUACGAUAGAGUUGGUAUGAAAGAUACUGCACAAAACACACUUGUCUUGCUGUGGACUGGGAGGUUAGUGGUCCCAAACACAUUUUAGAGCAGUGGGACUUUGGAAGCUAACUCCCUUAGACUUCUUUUGACAAUCCCAGCCCUGUAUAAUUUUGUAAACCUGUAAAACAAAGAUGAGAUGUGUCAGAUUAUUACACUUCCAGUCUCAUAAGAAUGGUUUAAAAAAAAAACACUUGGAAGACAAUUACGGACAUGCACAUCAUAAAGACAUCUAGAUGCUUGACAAAUGAGCUGUGGCAGCAGAAUAUUCUUGCAUUAUGCUAAGAAACCAAAUGACUAAAGGCAGAGGCAUUUAUAAUCCUUCUCAGGCAUUCGAAUAAACACACACAGCAACCAGUAAUAGAAAUGCA